AGGACGAACGCUGGCGGCGUGCUUAACACGUGCAAGUCGAGCGGAAAGGCCCUUCGGGGUACUCGAGCGGCGAACGGGUGAGUAAUACGUGAGCAACCUGCCCUUAGCUCUGGGAUAGCUCCGGGAAACCGGAAUUAAUACCGGAUAUGACCUAGGCCGACAUCGGCCGUGGUGGAAAGUUUUUCGGCUAGGGAUGGACUCGCGGCCUAUCAGCUAGUUGGUGGGUAAUGGCCUACCAAGGCGACGACGGGUAG
rnacentral:rRNA from 1 species